ACUAAGGGGGUGUUAUUAGUU
rnacentral:snRNA from 1 species